rnacentral:rRNA from 1 species
UACGAAGGGGGCUAGCGUUGCUCGGAAUCACUGGGCGUAAAGGGUGCGUAGGCGGGUCUUUUAAGUCAGGGGUGAAAUCCUGGAGCUCAACUCCAGAACUGCCUUUGAUACUGCGGUGCUUGAGGACUGGAGAGGAGACUGGAAUUUACGGUGUAGCAGUGAAAUGCGUAGAGAUCGUAAGGAAGACCAGUGGCGAAGGCGGGUCUCUGGACAGUUCCUGACACUGAGGCACGAAGGCCAGGGGAGCAAACGGG